rnacentral:rRNA from 1 species
GCAGUCGACGAGCGAGAGAGAGCUUGCUUUCUCGAGCGAGUGGCGAACGGGUGAGUAACGCGUGAGGAACCUGCCUCAAAGAGGGGGACAACAGUUGGAAACGACUGCUAAUACCGCAUAAGCCCACGGGUCGGCAUCGACCAGAGGGAAAAGGAGCAAUCCGCUUUGAGAUGGCCUCGCGUCCGAUUAGCUAGUUGGUGAGGUAAUGGCCCACCAAGGCGACGAUCGGUAGCCGGACUGAGAGGUUGAACGGCCACAUUGGGACUGAGACACGGCCCAGACUCCUACGGGAGGCAGCAGUGGGGAAUAUUGCACAAUGGGGGAAACCCUGAUGCAGCGACGCCGCGUGGAGGAAGAAGGUCUUCGGAUUGUAAACUCCUGUUGUUGGGGAAGAUAAUGACGGUACCCAACAAGGAAGUGACGGCUAACUACGUGCCAGCAGCCGCGGUAAAACGUAGGUCACAAGCGUUGUCCGGAAUUACUGGGUGUAAAGGGAGCG